UACGUAGGGUGCGAGCGUUAAUCGGAAUUACUGGGCGUAAAGCGUGCGCAGGCGGUUUUGUAAGCCAGAUGUGAAAUCCCCGGGCUUAACCUGGGAAUGGCAUUUGGGACUGCAAGGCUCGAGUGCGGCAGAGGAGACUGGAAUUCCUGGUGUAGCAGUGAAAUGCGUAGAUAUCAGGAGGAACACCAAUGGCGAAGGCAGCACUCUGGGACGUGACUGACGCUGAGACGCGAAAGCGUGGGGAGCAAACAGG
rnacentral:rRNA from 1 species